rnacentral:pre_miRNA from 1 species
UUUGUACUCCCUUGGUCCAAAAAUACAUGUCAUGAAAAUGUAUGUAUCUAGAUGUAUUCUAGUUUUAGAUACAUUUAUUUUUAUCUGUUUGUACGACAAGUAAUUCCGGACGAAGGAAAUAAUGU